UACGUAGGGUGCAAGCGUUGUCCGGAAUUAUUGGGCGUAAAGAGCGUGUAGGCGGCCACACAGGUCUGCUGUGAAAACUCGAGGCUCAACCUCGAGCUGUCGGUGGAAACCGUGUGGCUAGAGUCCGGAAGAGGAGAGUGGAAUUCCCGGUGUAGCGGUGAAAUGCGCAGAUAUCGGGAAGAACACCCGUGGCGAAGGCGGCUCUCUGGACCGAUACUGACGCUGAGGCGCGAAAGCGUGGGGAGCAAACAGG
rnacentral:rRNA from 1 species